rnacentral:rRNA from 1 species
UUUUUUUCAUAAUCUGUUUUCAAAAAUUAACCCACCCAUUUUUAAGAAUAACCACUUUAUACAGUGAAACUCGGAAUAGGUCAUAAAAUCACUUUUCUUUUUUUUGUUGUACCCCCUUUACAUGGAUAACCGGGGUAAUUCUAGAGCUAAUCCAUGCGAAAAACCCCGCCUCCGGGAGGGGUGUGUUUAUUAGAUAAAAAACCAACGCCCUUCGGGGCUCGCUGGUGAAUCAUGAUAACCUCACGAAUCGCAUGGCCUUGCGCCGGCGAUGGUUCAUUCAAAUUUCUGCCCUAUCAACUUCGAUGUAGAG